UUGUUGUUGAACUACGCCAGAAAUGCCGUCGGUUCACCGUUUCAACUUUCAUUUUCACUUAAUGGUGGGAGGGCUAAGUGCGCUUUGUUUAACUAACUCUGGCUUUUUGCUCGAUGUACUUAAAGCUGGUAACAUUUCUGAGGUGUCUGAAGUCUUGGUUCUUUGGCCUGUUAAGGUUUACACAUAAUUUGUUUGCUCGUACUUGGUUUCGUCGUAUUAAUAGUAGUUUGCGGUCUACUAAACAUAUUAGUAUGGAGUCAGAUGAUGAUUGCGACUGCGAGUUUGACUCCACAUGGGAGGAUGAAGAUGAAAACAAAACACCCAAUGAGAAGCUCAAGAAGAGUCGCAGGAACAUGUAUGCAGCCAAGGACAUGCAAGACUUCCGGCAUCGUUGCCUGGAACUAGAUGAUGACUAUGAGGAGGAUUAUACCAUGGAAAAAGAAGAUGAUGCAUUUCAGAUUGUCAGAAUUUGCUAUUUACAAUGUUUAUAAACCAUAUUUUAAAGUAUAAUUUACCUGCAUCUCUGGUGUAAUGCUAGAUUUGAUUUGUAUGAAAUGCUUGAGAAAUUGUUGCAUUUAUUUAUAUAUAUAUAUGUGUGUGUGUGUGUGUGUGUGUGUGUGGGUAUAUAUUGUUGUUGUCAUCCCCUAGAAUCCCCUAUAUCAUCUGAAGUUUUACAGAGGUGAAAUAAAAGCUGCGCCAGUCGCUAUUCACAUUGAUGGUUUUCACAAAGACUGGUGGGGUCAAUAUGAUUUGCUUGAAAAGGCUCACUACUACAUUCAAUGGUAA